AUCCAGCUGACGAGUCCCGAAUGGGGUGAAAUGCGUGUCCUGGAU
rnacentral:hammerhead_ribozyme from 1 species